UGGGGAAUAUUGCACAAUGGGGGAAACCCUGAUGCAGCGACGCCGCGUGAACGAAGAAGGUAUUCGUAUCGUAAAGUUCUGUCCUAUGGGAAGAUAAUGACAGUACCAUAGAAGAAAGCUCUGGCUAAAUACGUGCCAGCAGCCGCGGUAAUACGUAUGGAGCGAGCGUUGUCCGGAAUUAUUGGGCGUAAAGGGUACGCAGGCGGUUUAAUAAGUCGAAUGUUAAAGAUCGGGGCUCAACCCCGCAAAGCAUUGGAAACUGAUAAACUUGAGUAGUGGAGAGGAAAGUGGAAUUCCUAGUGUAGUGGUGAAAUACGUAGAUAUUAGGAGGAAUACCAGUAGCGAAGGCGACUUUCUGGACACAAACUGACGCUGAGGUACGAAAGCGUGGGGAGCAAACAGG
rnacentral:rRNA from 1 species